rnacentral:rRNA from 1 species
UGGGGAAUUUUGGACAAUGGGCGAAAGCCUGAUCCAGCAAUGCCGCGUGUGUGAAGAAGGCCUUCGGGUUGUAAAGCACUUUUGUCCGGAAAGAAAUGGCUCUGGUUAAUACCUGGGGUCGAUGACGGUACCGGAAGAAUAAGGACCGGCUAACUACGUGCCAGCAGCCGCGGUAAUACGUAGGGUCCAAGCGUUAAUCGGAAUUACUGGGCGUAAAGCGUGCGCAGGCGGUUGUGCAAGACCGAUGUGAAAUCCCGAGCUUAACUUGGGAAUUGCAUUGGUGACUGCACGGCUAGAGUGUGUCAGAGGGGGGUAGAAUUCCACGUGUAGCAGUGAAAUGCGUAGAGAUGUGGAGGAAUACCGAUGGCGAAGGCAGCCCCCUGGGAUAACACUGACGCUCAUGCACGAAAGCGUGGGGAGCAAACAGGAUUAGAUACCCUGGUAGUCCACGCCCUAAACGAUGUCAACUAGUUGUUGGGGAUUCAUUUUCCUUAGUAACGUAGCUAACGCGU